rnacentral:misc_RNA from 1 species
GAUGAAGAACGUAGCGAAAUGCGAUAAGUAAUGUGAAUUGCAGAAUUCAGUGAAUCAUCGAGUCUUUGAACGCACAUUGCGCCCCCUGGUAUUCCGGGGGGCAUGCCUGACCGAGCGUCAUUGCCGCCCUCAAGCACGGCUUGUGUGUUGGGCCCCCGCCCCCCGGCUUCGGGGGGCGGGCCCGAAAGGCAGCGGCGGCACCGCGUCCGGUCCUCGAGCGUAUGGGGCUUCGUCACCCGCUCUGUAGGCCCGGCCGGCGCCCGCCGGCGACCCCAAUCAAUCUUUCCAGGUUGACCUCGGAUCAGGUAGGGAUACCCGCUGAACUUAAGCAUAUCAAUAAGCGGAGGA